UAUACAACACCAUCAUCAUAUAACCAAACUAGCUUUCAGGAUUGAUUACUACUUGCUAGCUUAGGAUUGGAUUUUCUUUGCUAGAUGGUGUUGUAUUGUGAUUUUAAAUUUCAGAUGUUGUAGUACUAUACAAUCAGAUGUUUAUGGUUGGAGAUGUUUGGAUAUUUAUCUAUGUUUUGUGAUUGGAUGUUUAGUUUAAAUUUUGUGCUUGGA